GACGAACGCUGGCGGCGUGCUUAACACAUGCCAGUCGAACGGAAAGGCCUGCUUUCCCUUGUGGAUUGCGGGUACUCGAGUGGCGAACGGGUGAGUAACACGUGAGUGAUCUGCCCCCAACUUGGGUAUAAGCCUGGGAAACUGGGUCUAAUUCCCGAUAGGACUGCAGGGUGGUGCCUGUGGUGGAAAACGAUUUUCUAGUGGUUGGGGAUGAGCUCGCGGCCUAUCAGCUUGUUGGUGGGGUAAUGGCCUACCAAGGCGGCGCCGGGUAGCCGGCCUGAGAGGGCGGACGGCAACAUUGGGACUGAGAUACGGACCAGACUCCUGCGGGAAGCAGCAGUGGGGGAUAGUGCACAAUGGGCGGAAGACUGAUGCAGCGACGCCGCGUGGGGGAUGACGGCCUUCGGGUUGUAAACUCCUUUCGACCGCGAGGAAGCCACCUGGUUGGAAGGGUGGUGACGGUAGUGGUAGAAGAAGCACCGGCUAACUACGUG
rnacentral:rRNA from 1 species